rnacentral:rRNA from 1 species
UUUAGCUUGCUAGAAAGUGGAUUAGUGGCGCACGGGUGAGUAAUGCAUAGGUUAUGUGCCCCAUAGUCUGGGAUAGCCACUGGAAACGGUGAUUAAUACCGGAUACUCCUUACGAGGGAAAGUUUUUCGCUAUGGGAUCAGCCUAUGUCCUAUCAGCUUGUUGGUGAGGUAAUGGCUCACCAAGGCUAUGACGGGUAUCCGGCCUGAGAGGGUGAACGGACACACUGGAACUGAGACACGGUCCAGACUCCUACGGGAGGCAGCAGUAGGGAAUAUUGCUCAAUGGGCGAAAGCCUGAAGCAGCAACGCCGCGUGGAGGAUGAAGGUUUUAGGAUUGUAAACUCCUUUUGUUAGAGAAGAUUAUGACGGUAUCUCACGAAUAAGCAC